rnacentral:rRNA from 1 species
UACGGGGGGGGCAAGCGUUGUUCGGAAUUACUGGGCGUAAAGGGUUCGUAGGUGGCUUGCUAAGUCAGACGUGAAAUCCCUCAGCUUAACUGGGGAACUGCGUCUGAUACUGGCGAGCUUGAGUGCAGGAGAGGAACGCAGAAUUCCUGGUGUAGCGGUGAAAUGCGCAGAUAUCAGGAGGAACACCAAUGGCGAAGGCAGCUCGCUGGGACGUGACUGACGCUGAGACGCGAAAGCGUGGGGAGCAAACAGG